rnacentral:rRNA from 1 species
CCUACGGGUGGCAGCAGUGGGGAAUAUUGGACAAUGGGGGGAACCCUGAUCCAGCCAUGCCGCGUGUGUGAAGAAGGCCCUCGGGUGGUAAAGCACUUUCAGUGAGGAAGAACGCCUGGUGGUUAAUACCCAUCAGGAAAGACAUCACUCACAGAAGAAGCACCGGCUAACUCCGUGCCAGCAGCCGCGGUAAUACGGAGGGUGCGAGCGUUAAUCGGAAUUACUGGGCGUAAAGCGCGCGUAGGUGGCUUGAUAAGCCGGUUGUGAAAGCCCCGGGCUCAACCUGGGAACGGCAUCCGGAACUGUCAAGCUAGAGUGCAGGAGAGGAAGGUAGAAUUCCCGGUGUAGCGGUGAAAUGCGUAGAGAUCGGGAGGAAUACCAGUGGCGAAGGCGGCCUUCUGGACUGACACUGACACUGAGGUGCGAAAGCGUGGGUAGCAAACAGGAUUAGAUACCCUGGUAGUC